AAGGGGGCUCUGUGGAUCUACACAGACGGUGGGGACGAAAGCUGGGGACGCACACGGGAUGAGAUACCUUGUUGUCCUACCCAUAACUAUCAGGACGUGGUGUUGCCCUGUACGGGCCAUGUCCCGUAGCUAACGCGAUAACUCCUGCGCCUGGAGAGCACGGUCGCAAGACUGAAUCUCAAGGGAUUUGACGGGGGCCCGCACAAGCGGUGGCACGUGUGGUUCAUUUCGACGCAACGCGAAGCACCUCACCUGGGCUUGAACCGCACAGGACCAUCUUUAGAAACAGCGACUUCCCGCAAGGGACCUGUGUAGAGGUGCUGCAUGGCUGUCGUCAGCUCGUGCCGUGAGGUGUUGGGUUAAGUCCCGCAGCGAGCGCAACCCUUACUUAUAGUUGCCACCCGCAAGGGGGAACUCUAUGAGGACUGCUCCGGAUAACGGAGAGGAAGGUGGGGAUGAGGUCAAGUCAGCAUGGCCUUUAUGUUCAGGGCUACACACGUGUUACAAUGCGCGCCACAAAGCGUUGCAAACCCGCGAGGGGGAGCUAAUCGCAAAAAAGCGCGCUCAGUUCGGAUUGCAGUCUGCAACUCGACUGCAUGAAGCCGGAAUCGCUAGUAAUGGCGCAUCAGAACGGCGCCGUGAAUACGUUCCCGGGCCUUGUACACACCGCCCGUCACAUCACGAAAGUGGGCUGUACUAGAAAUCGCCGUGCCAACCGCAAGGAGGCAGGCGCUCAAGGUAUGACUCAUGAUUGGGGUGAAGUCGUAACAAGGUAACC
rnacentral:rRNA from 1 species